UCUCAUCCUCUUUUUCCCACGCGAUAUAGGUUAUACGAUCUUUAGAGCUUUUCCUUUCAUCUUGUAGAAUUCUUUAUCUUUCUUUUUAUGAUGUUUGGUGAGACUUUGACAAGUGGUUCUAAUAUGUGUCAAUUUUCUGCACUCGUAACACGUAAUAUCGUCAUCCUUUUUCUUGUGUUCUUUCUUAGGUAAAUGAGUAUUUCUGAAAUUUACUAGUCUUUUGUCAGUAUGUUUUUGAGCUUGUU
rnacentral:lncRNA from 1 species